rnacentral:rRNA from 1 species
AAGCCUGAUGCAGCCAUGCCGCGUGUAUGAAGAAGGCCUUCGGGUUGUAAAGUACUUUCAGCGGGGAGGAAGGGAGUGAGGUUAAUAACCUCAUUCAUUGACGUUACCCGCAGAAGAAGCACCGGCUAACUCCGUGCCAGCAGCCGCGGUAAUACGGAGGGUGCAAGCGUUAAUCGGAAUUACUGGGCGUAAAGCGCACGCAGGCGGUCUGUCAAGUCGGAUGUGAAAUCCCCGGGCUCAACCUGGGAACUGCAUUCGAAACUGGCAGGCUGGAGUCUUGUAGAGGGGGGUAGAAUUCCAGGUGUAGCGGUGAAAUGCGUAGAGAUCUGGAGGAAUACCGGUGGCGAAGGCGGCCCCCUGGACAAAGACUGACGCUCAGGUGCGAA